CAAGAGUACAACCAAUUGAUUACCCCAAAAAUGGAGGAGGCUGGUGGCAGCAGGAGGAGGUAGGGAACUGGUCUGUCUGCCCAAUAUAAAGAAUCAAUACUGGAGGAGGCAGGUGGCAGCGGGUGGAGGUAGGGAACUGGUCUGUCUGCCCAAUAUAAAGGAUCAAUACUGGAGGAGGCAGGUGGAGGUAGGGAACUGGUCUGUCUGCCCAAUAUAAAGGAUCAAUACUGGAGGAGGCAGGUGGAGGUAGGGAACUGGUCUGUCUGCCCAAUAUAAAGGAUCAAUACUGGAGGAGGCAGGUGGAGGUAGGGAACUGGUCUGUCUGCCCAAUAUAAAGGAUCACAACUGGCAGAGGAAUAAAAAAUAGCAUAAAUAGGAAAGUAUACCAGUUUCAUUUGAGGACCAGGAUGUUGACAACUGAGCCACACAGAUUGCAAAAUAGUUGUGAAGAGAUGUUUGAUGUACUGAUUCCAUGGUACAGGGUGUAUGAGAUGAUAUAUAAAACACAACGCAAGAUUUAAGACUUCGUGGUUUUCAGCUAAAAUUAUUAUAUAGAA
ensembl:lncRNA